rnacentral:rRNA from 1 species
CCUGCCCUUGGGUCCGGCAUAACCCCGGGAAACUGGGGAUAAUUCCGGAUAACGCACAUAUGCUGGAAUGCUUUAUGCGUCAAAUGGAUUCGUCUGCCCAAGGAUGGGUCUGCGGCCUAUCAGGUAGUAGUGGGUGUAAUGUACCUACUAGCCGACGACGGGUACGGGUUGUGAGAGCAAGAGCCCGGAGAUGGAUUCUGAGACAUGAAUCCAGGCCCUACGGGGCGCAGCAGGCGCGAAAACUUUACAAUGCGGGAAACCGUGAUAAGGGGACACCGAGUGCCAGCAUCAUAUGCUGGCUGUCCGGGUGUGUAAAAUACACCUGUUAGCAAGGGCCGGGCAAGACCGGUGCCAGCCGCCGCGGUAACACCGGCGGCCCGAGUGGUGAUCGUGAUUAUUGGGUCUAAAGGGUCCGUAGCCGGUUUGGUCAGUCCUCCGGGAAAUCUGACGGCUUAACCGUUAGGCUUUCGGAGGAUACUGCCAGGCUUGGAACCGGGAGAGGUAAGAGGUACUACAGGGGUAGGAGUGAAAUCUUGUAAUCCCUGUGGGACC